rnacentral:lncRNA from 1 species
AUUUUUCUAUUAUUAUUUCUUGAGUCGUGAUUUAUUCCGGUUUAUGAAGAAUUAAAUCUACGGAUUUAAUUUAGAAUUUAUUCUAGCUAAGAAAGGAAGCAGAUAUCGAGUAGUUUCAUAAACACGCGAUAUUAACAAAACCCGGUAGUUGGAUUUUAUUUAAAAAAAAAAUGCAAUACAAUAUUACAGAUAUAGAAAUUCCAAGACAAGAAUUAUUGCUUCUGUUUAUACUUCACUUUACAAACCCCUAUUUUUCUAUCUAUCUACCAACACUUAAAAAAAAAAAAGGAAUAGUGUAUGUGUGUGAAAGAAAUCUGCAGCUAUCCCUUAAGCGCAUGCUCAGCCAUCUAUUCUGGACAUUUUUUUGACUCCAGCUCCACGCCUAUGUAAUAUUCUUCUUUGACUCCAGCUCCAGCAGCAUAUUUGCAAAAUUUUCACACCCGAACACCUUCAUUUGGUUUCAGAUUUCAGCAGCUAUUAAUCCUCAUCUCAUACCC